UGCGUAGGCGGCCCCGUGUGUCAGAGGUGAAAUCCCACGGCUCAACCGUGGAAUUGCCUUUGAAACUGCAGGGCUUGAGUCCGAGAGGGGAAGGUGGAAUUCCUGGUGUAACGGUGAAAUGUGCAGAUAUCAGGAAGAACACCCGUGGCGAAGGCGGCCUUCUGGCUCGGAACUGACGCUGAGGCACGAAAGCUAGGGUAUCGAACG
rnacentral:rRNA from 1 species